rnacentral:ncRNA from 22 species
UUGUAGCAGCCGCCGCACCGCUCGGUCGUCCAUGGCCCUCGGCCGACGGACGCCUUGGGGGAAGACCGGUGAGAGUCCGGCGCUGUCGCGCAACGGUAACGCUUGGGUCACCAAGCGAAGCCCGAGUACCCACGGUGCGGCGUAACCCUGUA